UCCCUGAUGGUCUAGUGGUCAGUAUUUGGCGCUUUCACCGCCGCGGCCCGGGUUCGAUUCCUGGUCAGGGAA
rnacentral:tRNA from 1 species